CAUGGAGACUGGCCAUCAUUCCUCCAACCCAGGACAGGCACGGGAGAAGUAUGGGCACCAAGAAUGGAGGGAAGUAUGUUGUAGAUGCUAGAUACUAUGUCAGCAGAAACACCAUACAGGUUCUGUACUUAUACAGAGACCCUGUCCCUUAGUUUGAGCUAUUCUUGCUCUAAAGCAGUGGUUCUCAAACUUCCUUUCAUACAGUUCUUCAUGUUCCGAUAAUUCUCAACCAUAAAAUUAUUUGUGUUACUACUUUACAACUUUAAUUUUGCUACUCUUAUGAAUUGUAAUAUAAAUACCUAUAUUUUCUCAUGGUCGUAACUAACCCGUGUGAAAGCAUCACUUGACCCCAAAGGUGUCACAACCCACAAUUUUUGAGAACCACUGCUCUAAAGGAAGAAUGUAACACAAAGCUUCCAUCCCUGGAUUUCAGUACAUACCGUUCCCUCUGGCUCGAUUAUAUUAACUCACUUAUAUUGUAAGGCUGGAAGAUGAUUCAAUCAGCAAAUCACCUGUUGCACAGGAAUGAGGACCCGAGUUCAGAUCCAAGCACCCAUGAACAAAACCUAGGCACAGUAUCAGCUAUCUGCAACCCCAGGGCUGCAGAGACUGAGGAAAGAAAUAUUUAAGGUUUGUAGUCCAGUUAUUUAUACUGUCCCUUGCAGCCUUUCUAUGAAUAUAAAUUAUUUGAUACUAAAGUUCUUAUUUGAUGUUAUUGCUAAGUCUACUCUUCUGGCAUGUUGCUUUGCCCAUAGUAGAUACUCAAAUAAGUGUUUUAAAAUAAAAGCAUUUAUUUUAAGUGUUCCUUCAUCCACCAAAUCCUUUCCAAUCUAUAAGUGUGAACAUUCCCUGUGAGUAUAUGAUUUUCCUUGGAUCAUUCCUAAAAUAUAGACUUACUAAUUCUUUGGUAUCAGCCCAUAAGAAACCUAUAAGAGCUCUAAGAUGAAGACUUUCUUAUGUGCAUGCUUGCUUGACUCUGUCCAUGUAUUUUCUCACUAUGCUCUUUCUGUAUGUUGCUGGCAUGCCUAUUCUCCUGUCAGUCCCAAUGCCCAUGUACCCUCACUUAUUGUAAGCCUCUCCAACUGCUGAAGGUCUGCAGCAGUCAUCAGUGUUUACCAGUCCUACUUUCAAGACGGAGACAUCAGUUCACAUUUGCAUUGUACCUUUCUUGUGAUUCUGAGGUCAUCCUAUCAUCUCUAAACUUGGACAUUUCUUUCUCGGGCAAUUUUCCUGUCUUUUCAAGGGUAUGUGUGCUCGCAUAAGCACACAUAUCUUAAAGUUUCAGAUUCUCCACUGAAGUCAUAGAAACCUGAGGAAGAAACACAUCCCAGGCUCCUCAGAAGGGAGAUCCUUAAUGUCCUGGUCAGUUAAUCGCAAGGACAGCAGAGAUCUGGUCUGAAAUCGACUGGUGAGUUAGCCUCGAAUUCCUGGCAAGGAGAUGCCAAAGACAUUUUUCAAGAUAGAGAAGGAGGAAAAACAUGGUAAUGGGCAAAAUGAGGGAAGACCUGAGCAGACACACUGAACAGAGAGUGAAUGCUACACUUGUGAAUGAGAAUCUGCAGUGGACAGAAGCGCGCAAGCCUU